GAUGAACGCUGGCGGCGUGCCUAAUACAUGCAAGUCGAGCGAACGGACGAGAAGCUUGCUUUUCUGAUGUUAGCGGCGGACGGGUGAGUAACACGUGGAUAACCUACCUAUAAGUCUGGGAUAACUUCGGGAAACCGGAUCUAAUACCGGAUAAUAUUUUGAACCGCAUGGUUCAAAAGAGAAAGACGGCCUUGCUGUCACUUAUAGAUGGAUCCGCGCUGCAUUAGCUAGUUGGUAAGGUAACGGCUUACCAAGGCUACGAUGCAUAGCCGACCUGAGAGGGUGAUCGGCCACACUGGAACUGAGACACGGUCCAGACUCCUACGGGAGGCAGCAGUAGGGAAUCUUCCGCAAUGGGCGAAAGCCUGACGGAGCAACGCCGCGUGAGUGAUGAAGGCCUUCGGAUCGUAAAACUCUGUUAUUAGGGAAGAACAUAUGUGUAAGUAACUGUGGACAUCUUGACGGUACCUAAUCAGAAAGCCACGGCUAACUACGUG
rnacentral:rRNA from 1 species